UACGUAGGGGGCAAGCGUUUGUCCGGAUUUAUUGGGCGUAAAGAGCGUGUAGGCGGCCAAGCAGGUCCGCUGUGAAAACUCGAGGCUCAACCUCGAGACGUCGGUGGAAACCGUUUGGCUAGAGUCCGGAAGAGGAGAGUGGAAUUCCCGGUGUAGCGGUGAAAUGCGCAGAUAUCGGGAAGAACACCCGUGGCGAAGGCGGCUCUCUGGGACGGUACUGACGCUGAGACGCGAAAGCGUGGGGAGCGAACAGG
rnacentral:rRNA from 1 species